UACGUAGGGACCGAGCGUUGUCCGGAUUUAUUGGGCGUAAAGAGCUCGUAGGCGGUUUGUCGCGUCUGCUGUGAAAACUGGGGGCUCAACCCCCAGCCUGCAGUGGGUACGGGCAGACUAGAGUGCGGUAGGGGAGAUUGGAAUUCCUGGUGUAGCGGUGAAAUGCGUAGAUAUCAGGAGGAAUACCGAUGGCGAAGGCAGGUCUCUGGGCUGACACUGACGCUCAUGCACGAAAGCGUGGGGAGCAAACAGG
rnacentral:rRNA from 1 species